rnacentral:lncRNA from 1 species
GGGUUUUCAAGGCGGAUUAAAGUUGGGCCGGGCCGAAAAGUUUCCAAAAAUUCUAAAAUUUUUCACUUUGUGAGGAAAAGCAGCGGCGCCCAAAUCUGGCGCCCCAGCAUCGUGAUUGGGUCUUCUGCUUUAUUUUCUUAUGCUGGUCCCCGUUGCGCCUAUGAGCUGCCCUUCAUUCUUUUCUUGGGCGCCCAGGCGCCCAUGGAACUGCCCCUUCGCUUAAUUUGUUCAUUUUCCAAGCCUCGUUUCCAUGUCACUCUCCUUCAAUUCUCUCCAAUUUGUACUCCAAUUUUAUGAUCACCAUUAUCGCUCUAUCAUAAGCUCCAAAAUGUGGUAUUUUCUCAAAAGUUGUCCAAGCUACAAAACAACACGAACACACACAUCAAAACGUUUAAAAGUGCUCGAGAACAAAUUAAAAAUCGUGAUUUAGAAGUGUUAGUUUAAUGAAUAUUCAUUACACUCAUCAGACACUCCCAAAAUUAGUUCUUUACUUGUCCUCGAGCAAACACAAACAACAAAUCAAAAUUUACCAAUCGCAGAUACACAUGCUGCCAAGGAAUUUAAAUACAUAUAAUUGGAUAACAUUUUUUUAUUUCUUAACAUCGAAAUGUGAAAUCAAGUUCAAGAACUACUUCAAAGCUAUAUAGCAAAAGCCAACUCCUUACCUACCCAAUACAGAUCAUGUGCGUAUGUGUGAAGAAUCAAAUAUAACACCAAACAUUCGUAUGUUGAUUCAAUUCCCGUCCUCGAAAGUCAAUUAUCUCUUUACUUUGCUCGUGGGAUUCACACACCCCAAACUUAUUUUCUCUUCCCUUCCCAAGGUGUAUUCUAAAGUUGAUUCUCAAUAUUAAUUUCUUACACCUCUCAAGUUUGGUUGGAAGUCACUAAUUGCAGUUCAACAUAUCGGUAAAUGCAGAUUCUCCUAGUUUUGACUGCUUCAACCACCAAGAAUCAAUCAAGUUACUAAUCCCUUAUCAAAGGCUUACUCCUCUAAAACAAGUGUUCGAGGCUUAAUCAAGCUUAAUUAUAAAUUUUUAUUUUAUUUUUUAUUCUUGAAUCAUCCUUUGUACGGGUGUCUCCCCCUUAAGCUUUCUAAAUGACCCCUAUAGCAAGCUUUAGAUCGAUAACUCCCAAAUCAAAUAACUUUAGGAUAUUGGGUUUUAAACCCUUACAAGCUAAUCACUUAAGUCAUAAAGGCUACGAAGAGACGAUUCGCAAUGAGAUUAUUAAAGUUGUCCUCAUUAGGAUAUUUUUUUCUCGGUUUGAUUAGUGCAAUGCCCCUUAUUAAACUGUUAUUCUCGAAAAUUAGCCCUUAACUUAGAGUAUUUACUCAAUUUUCAUCCCAUUAGUGUUAACCAGUCCACACAGAAUUUGACACACAGGAAAUCCACACCUACUUCCAUUUUUCCCUACAAUAGUUCAACCAUCCAAACCAUCCUAAAGUAGGUUAAGGGAUGUGAAUUUUUUAAUACUAGUGGCUAUUUGGGUUCAGUUUCUAGGGUUAUUGCUUCAACCUAGUGCUAAUUAUGAAUCAACUCACUCUUGUUCAAGGCUAUACUCAAUUCACGUGACAAAUGUCACAAUAAUCUGCAACGGUAAGUAAGAUUUUAACUCAGGCAAAUGACUUAUCCAUAAUUCACAACCAACUUACAUUCCAAAUAUAUUCAUCAUUGCUAACAAUGUCAUCCAACUCACACAAGCAUGCAAAAUAAAAAAAUGCAACGUGUUUUUCUUUCACACAAAGGAAAUUAACACACAAAGCAUACUUGAAACAUGAAUGCAACAUAACAAAAAUAGUAAAAAAUGCUCAACACAACUAAGCUAAAGUAUGACCCCUCCAAACUUAAAUGAUACAUUGCCCUCAAUGUGAAAAUGAAAGAAAGGAAAGAUAAAUACGUCAGCGAAGACAUCAAAUGUCUUCAUCGCCAUUAGGUGGAGCUAGAGGAUGUGAAUAAGGUGGAAACUGUGGUGGUGGAGGAAAAGUGAGCUCGGGGUAUGCAGAUGCCAUGACUGCCAUGUAUGCGAUUUGAUAUUGAAACUGGUCAUAGAUGGCGAAUUGUAGUUGAUUCAUUUGUACUUGCAUGCCAUCUUACCAUUGGGUCAUGCACAAAUCCAUGGCUUCAAGACGUCGAAGGAUGUCCCCCGUAGCAUCAGUAGGUUGUGGAAGUGGGGGCGUAAGUGAAGCUAGAUGAGAUGACUGGGGAGAACCAGGUAAGUCUCGACUUCCCCGAGCCUAUCACGGAGCUCCCACGUAAGUGGUGGUUUUAGAUGCAACAAAUCGUCAGUUUCCCGCAUGGGAACACCUCCGUGUAUGAAAAGGUCAUGUAUUAGGGAAGGGUGUCCCAAAUUGCCUGUAGUCGACCAUCCUGGGAUGUGAAGAAUGCUAUUCUAAAUGACCUUGUCGACAUCAAUAAAAUACCUCUUCUGAAUAACAAAAUUCAAUAAAGCCCGUUCCUUGGUGACCUUGCUGAUGUUGCUACUGGGGGAUCAUUUUUGCUGAUAUGAAGUGGUGUCAGGCUUUACAAUUAGGUAUCAGACCAGAGGCGGGGAAAUGAGUCACAUCACUAGUCGAUCUUUUCCAUUCAAUACACGAGCGAGCUAGAGUGUGAAGUAACACAUCGGGGUCAACAUCCUCAUUACGUAAUCAGGAGUAGUACCGUCAGGUAUAUCCCCAGUGUGGUCAAACCUGUUAAUUGAAAUACUAUCAAACUUGAUCCAAAAACCCUGGACAAAGACUUUGAAAUUCUCGUGUUCCUUGGCAUUAACAUAGAAUUCUUUCACCAAAGGAAUAGAAGCAGCUGUAGGUUGCCGAGUAAAUUUCUCCCAUCCCAAGCUCUAUAUUUUCUCGGCAAUAAGUCUUCAAAGCCCCUCUUUGGAAUGCAUUUCUGAUGAAUCACAAAUUUUCUAUAUCUUUCCUCUGCAGCAAAACUAAUAAAAUGUCGCUGAUCAAAUGCAACGAAAGAUGAAGACUCCGUGACCUUGGAUUUCUUUUUAGGAGGCAUGACUCGUUGUAUCCUAAUUGAAGAUUUAAAUUUCACAAUGAUAGUAGAGCCACACAACCACCAAUCGACCAAUGUAAUCCCAAAAUACUCUUUCUGUAGAUUGUGUAAGCAGCCAAUACCCAAACCAAAGCACAAUUGCAAAAUAAAUUACAAGAGGUGUCUUAGGCAAUUUUUCAAACACCUUGCAUACACAAGCCCAAGCAAGCACAAUGCAAUUUCCAUGUCUUCAAUAUACACCCAAGCAUUCAAGAUUCCACAAACCAACCAUUAUCCCAUGAACUAGCAAGAAGCCCCCACUACAAGUUUACAUGUCUUUGAUUGAAGAAAAAAUAGAUACCAUGAACAUGUUACUCUCCUUAGAUGGUGUACACCGUCGGCUCCCAUUUAACCCAAGUCGAGAAGGUGGAACAUAUUGAAGCCACAAGGUUGUAGAGAGGGUGGGGAAUGAGGAGAAUGCUUUGUUUUAGGAGAAAGGUGAAAUUUUGUGCAAAUAAGACUAGGGUGGAGAGAUGGAAUCGGGAGGAGAAGGGGAAAGAGAAGAGAAGGAAAAUUUGAGGGUAUAAAUAAAGAAAUAAAAGGAAGAAACUUGUUUAAGCAAAAAUAAAAAAACGUUUUCUAAAAAAAAAAAAACUAGCGUUGUAGCGUCCAAAAUUUUGCUAAAAAAUGAAUUUUUUUUGAAUAAAAUUGAAUUACCUCCAAUGUACCCAUUUCCCCAUGUUGACUCUAGUUUUUGAUAUGAUCAGAUUUGAACAUGUUCUUGCAAAAAUAAAAAGAAAAUGAAAUUACUAAAGUUGCCUAAGAAGAAGAAAAUGUCUAACUAAUGAAAAGAAAUUCAGGGAUAGAACUUAGAUUGCCUCCCAAGAAGCGCUUCUUUCACGUCUUUAGCUGGACAUGGAUAUGGUUUUAAGUUGGUUCUUCAAGGGUAGUUUCUUCCACAUCUUAGUCUUUCUCUCCAUAGUAAUGCUUGAUGCAUUGUCUAUUUGCUUGAAAAGUAGAACUAUCAUUGCUAACUAGCUCUAUUGCACCAUAAGAAAACACCUUACGAAUUACGAAUGGUCCCGACCACCUUGAUUUAAGCUUGCUCGGAAAGAGUUUCAAAAGAAAAUUGAACAAAAGGACUCCCUCUCCUGGCUUGAAUUCAUUCCUUAGGAUUCUCUUGUCAUGCCACAUUUUUAUUCGUUCCUUGUAUAUUUUUGAAUUUUUAUAGUCAUCAUUUCAAAAUUUCUCUAAUUCAUAAACCUGCAACAUGCAUUGUGGGCCGGCCAAUUUCAUGUCCAAAUUCAACUUCUUCACAGCCCAGCAAACUCUAUGCUCCAAUUCAACUAUAGAUGACAAGCUUUCCUGAAUACCAGAUGGUAGGGUGACAUUCGAAUUGGUGUUUCAAAGGCGGUUCGGUAUGCCCAAAGAGCAUCAUCUAGUUUGAGAGACCAAUCCUUGCAAUUGGUAUUGACUGUCUUUUCCAAAAUCUGUUUAAUCUAUAUGUUGGAUACCUCUGCUUGCCCAUUUGAUUAUGGGUGAUAACUAAGUGCCAAUUUGUGCUUGAUAUCGUAUUUAGCUAGAAGAGAAUUGAACAACUUAUUACAAAAAUAUGUACAUUCAUCACUUACUAUUGCCCUAGGCGUGCUAAAUUGAGUGAAUAUAUGUUUUUGUAAAAACUUCAAAACUACCUUUGCAUCAUUUGUUGGUAUGGCAACGACUUCAACCCAUUUAGAUACAUAGUAGAAAAAUGUAUACCUGCUGAAAGGAUGGCGAAAACGGACCCAUGAAAUCUAUACCCCACACGUCAAAUAACUUCACAUCGAGCAUACUAGCUAGUGGCAGCUCAUGAUGUCUUGAAAUGUUUCCAGUACGCUGAAAAUGGUCAAAUGUCUUCACAAAAGUAUAGCAGUCUUUGAACAGAUUUGGCAAAUAGAAUCCAGAUUGUAACACCUUCGAAGCAUGCAUGUGAGACUGAAAUGACCUCCAUAAGGUGAUGAAUGACAACCCUGCAUGAUUGAUCGUGUUUCUUCCACAGGGACACACCGCCUAAUUAUUCUAUUAGCAUACCUCUUGAAGAGUAUUGGAUCAUCCCACAGAUAUGACCUGACAUCAUGUAGUUAAUGAAAGGUCAAGUUAGGUGGCAAUCUUCCAAACACCAAUUAGUUAACAAAAUCAGCAUACCGUGGGAUCCUUGAUGACAUCGCUAACAAGAUCUCAUCAGGAAAAGUUUCUCAAAUUUGACUCUCAUCCACCACCUUUUCAUUUUCUAACCGUGAGAGAUGAUCUGCAACGACAUUCUCAUUUCCUUUCUUUUCCCAAAUGUCUACAACAAACUCUUGCAGUAGCAAUAUCCAUCGAAUUAGGCAUGGUUUGACAUCUUUCUUUUCAAGUAGAUAUCAGAUUGCAGUAUGGUCUGUGUAAAUUAUCACUUUGGUGCCAAUGAGAUAGGAUCUGAAUUUGUCACAUGUAAAGACGACUGCUAACAUCUCAUUUUCUAUUGUAGUGUAGUUUAGUUGAGCUCCAUUAAGGGUUUUGCUAGCAUAGUGAGUUGCCCGAAAUAUCUAAUCAUGCCUUUGUUUUAAAAUCACCCCUACUGCAUAGUCACUAGCAUCAUUUAUAACCUCAAAUGGCUAAUCCAAACUUGGUACUGCCAUCAUUGGAGCAGUAACUAAUUUUUUCUUUAUUGUUUCCAAUGCCUUUAAGCAAUCUUCAUGAAACAUGAAUGUUGUGUCCUCCAACAGGUUGCAUAAGGGUUUAGCUACCUUUGAGAAGUCUCUGAUAAACCUCUUGUAAAACCCAGCGUGUCCUAAGAAACUCCGAAUGCCUUUGACAUAGGUCGGUGGUAGCUUUGAUAUUGUAUCAAUUUUUGCUCUGUCAACUUCAAGUCCCUUUGUUGAAACAUAUGGCCUAGCACAAUUCUUUCUUGUACCAUGAAGUGGCAUUUUUCCCAGUUAAAAACUAAGUUCUUUUCCUCACAGCGUUGCAACACUAAUGAGAGAUUGUGAAGGCAGUUAUCAAAAGAAGUACCAAACGCAGAAAAGUUAUCCAUAAAUACCUCCAUGAUAUCCUCAACCAUGUCUGCAAAAAUCGCCACCGGUUCAUUGCACAACCCGAAUGGCAUCAGUAUGUAGGCAAAAGUUCCAUAAGGAUAGGUGAAUGUUGUCUUUUCCUGAUCUUCUGGUGCUAUAGCAGUUUGAUUGUAGCCCGAAUACCCGUUAAGAAAACAAUACUAAGAGUAGCCCGCUAAUCUGUCCAACAUUUGAUCAAUGAACGGGAGUGGGAAAUGAUUCUUUCGAGUUACCUUGUUCAGCUUCCUGUAAUCAAUGCAUACCUUCCAGCCAGUUACUGUUCUUGUUGGAAUUAGCUCAUUGUUAUCUUAACUACUGUCAUCCCUCAUUUCUUUGAUACCACUUGUAUUGGGUUGACCUAUUCACUAUCUAAAAUGGAAAAUAUGAUUCCUGCCUUCAGUAACUUUAGUAUCUCCACUCCAACCACUUCUUUCAUGGCUGGGUUUAAACUUCUCUAAUGUUCAAUGGGUGGCUUGUAAUAAUCUUCCAUAAGGAUUUUAUGCAUGCAAAUCGUAGGACUUAUCCCCUUGAUAUCAGCUAUCAACCAUCCUAAAGUAGCCUUGUGAUUCCUCAAUACUUUCAAUAAUCUGUCUUCUUCGUCCCUAGAGAGUGAUGAAGAAAUGAUAAUUGGAAAUGUAGAAUUGUCCUCCAAAAAUACAUAGCAAAGUUGAUCUGGUAAUUGCUUCAGUUCAACUUUACUGCUUGCAUCACUCUCUUUAUCAUCUGAUCCCACUGACUGCUGAAUAUCUUCUCGCUGUGACGGGUUUUCCUCAACUGGUGAAUACUCGAGAGCCAAUAUGCAAUCAACUAAGUCCUUGCUCCCUGUGUACCCUUCAGAUGUGAUAAUGUCAUCCUUUGUUGCACUAAACAGCAUACACUGUUCCAAAGGGUCCUCAAUGCAUAAUUGCCUUUCUCUCACGGCAGAACCAAUGAAGUCUAUUUUGUGACACGUGUCAGUGUCAUCCACGUACUUCAUUGCUUGGUAGAUGUUGAAUCUCACUCAUUUUUCAUUCACUCUCAAUGUUAGAUAGCCCUCCUUGUACAUCAAUUAAUGCUCUUCCUGUUGCUAAAAAUGGCCUGCCUAAGAUCAAUGAGAUUUCCUUAUCUUCUUCCAUAUCCAAUACAAAAAGUCAGCUGAGAAGAUAAAAUUUUCGACCUUUACUAACACGUCUUCAAUAAUCACUUGGGAGUAUGUGAGGGAUCUAUCGGCUAGUUGUAGAGUCACUAUUUUUGGCUUGACUUUUCCAAGGCCUAUUUUUUUGAACACUGAUAAAGGCAUCAGGUUGAUGCUUGCUCCAAGAUCACAAAGGGCUUUGUCAAAAAAAGAGUUUCCAAUGGUGAAGGGAAUAGUGAAACUACCUCGAUCUUUUCUCGUAUGAGGAAGUUUCUUUUGAAUGAUAGUACUGCAUUCUUUUGUCAAUUUCACUGUUUCAUACUCCUUCAACUUCCACUUCUUUGACAUCACUUCUUUCAUAAACUUCGCGUAGUUUGUCAUUUGUUCCAAAGCAUUUGCAAAAGGAAUAUUAGUGUGAAUUUUCUUGAAAAUUUAGCAAAUUGAUCGUCAAAUUUUUUCUUUUGAAAACCUUGUGGGAAUGGAAGUGCUGGUUUGAGGAUUGGUGGGUUGUUAAGGAAUGAUAUGGAAUAAGGUCUGUGGGCCGUUUGUGUUCCCUUGGCUUGAUUUUCUUGCUCUGCUACUACUUGCUCUUCUUCCUUGUCAGGUGUGGAAAUGCUUUCUUCUUUGGGUCUACUUUCUCCAACUUGCUUGCCACUCCUCAAUACAACAGCCUUACAGUCCUUCUUUAGGUUGAAUUCUGUAUCACUUGAAAACUUUCCCUGUUUCCAAGACUUCAUUAAGGUAGCCAACUGACCACUCUGAACUUCAAGAUUCUCAUGUUGGACACAUACGUUUCAAUAUUAUCCAAACGUAAUUCAUCUUUAUUGAAGCUCGAUCUUGUUUCAGAAAUAAAUAUCCCAAGGAUAUUUUCUAAGGAUGGUUUUCCUUCAGAAUUCUGAGUGUUAAAUCCAGGCGGAGGUUGAAGCCUUUUUAUAUUAUUGCCAUAUGAUAAGUUCUCGUGAUUUCUCAGCCCUAGAUGGUAAUGAUUAGAGAGUAAUUUCCUCUCUGAUGGUAGUUCCGGCUAUUGGCAUAUUGAACUUGCUCGUUUGUUAUCUCUCUCCUGGUGUUAUAAAGAAGUAGCCAUAACUGAAUCUGCAUUAGGUUGAUUCCCUUGAUUGGUGAGUGUUCCUAUUUGAUUCGUGAGUGAUGAAACCUGAGCUACUAUUUCUGUGAUGGGAUCCACUUCGUGAAAUCCUGCUACUCUUUCAUACUUGAUCUCUCACUUGGUCAUUGGUAACUAUUUGUGGCUAUGUCAUUCAACAAGAAAUAUGCAGCAUCUAUUGUUUUAGCAAUUAAAAUGCCUCCCGUAGCUGCUUCUACCAUAGUUCUUGUCUGCUCAUUUAACCUAUUAUAGAAGAUCUCGAUCUGCGCCCAUUUCUGAAAACCAUGUUGAGGACAUCUUCUGAGUAGGUCUUUAAAUCUUUCCCAGGCUUCAUAAAAUGGCUCAAAGUCGAAUUGUCUGAAUUGGCUAAUCUCGCUUCAAAGUUGAGCUGAUUUGGAAGGUGGAAAGUACUUGGUAUGGAAUUUCUGAGCCAAAUCAACGUAAGUUGUAAUUGAGCCAUACAGUAGCGACUGGAACCUAGUCUUUGCCUUAUCCCUCAAGGAAAGAGAAUAGGCGAAGUCUAAUUGCAUCUUCAGUAACCCCAUUCAUUUUCACCGUAUCGCAAAUUUCCAAAAGGGAACCUAGAUGAGCAUUUGAGUUUUCUAUUCUAGUUUUUCCAAACUGAUUCUGUUGCACAAUGUGUAUAAGUCCUGACUUCAGUUCGAAAUUGUUUGCAGUAAUAGUUGGGCGUGCAAUGCCGGAGUAAUUGUCAUUGACAAUGGGCCUAACGUAGUCCCGAAUUGCUCUUUGUUGAUUGCUUUGUUAGCUGCUCUUGCCUCAUGUUCUGCCAUAACUUCACGUUCGUCCCUGUAUACCCCUUAGAAGGUGGAAUGUAUAUUCUGGUUUAGGAUCAACAGGUAGUAAGUCAAUAUUUCUCGCCCUUCGCAUAAACAGUUGAAAAUAAGAACAAGUAAGCUAUUAGAAAUAGACACAAGACAAAUAAAAAAAAUAAAAAUUAAAGUUAAGAUAGAAAUCCAAAUUAAAAUGAAAGCCAAUUGGUAAUAAUAACAAUCGAAUUCAAAUGAAUUAAUCCUCGACAAUGGCGCCAAAAACAUGCCACGCAAUUUAUGUAACGUGAUUUAGUCGCAAGUGUACGAUGUCAAAUUUUGUAGUAUAGUAAGGAAUUAAAAAGUGUCGAACCCACAAGGAUUGAUAUUCGAAUUCCACUGAGUAAUAUAAUUGUUUCGAUUUUCAUUUUAUUUAGACAAUCAAAUUUUGAAGUGAUGUUUUUACGCUAAUCUAAUAUAGAUGAAAUAAAGAAUACAAGUAAAGUGAGGCAAUUUCUAAAGAUUGAAUCAAUCUAUGGAUGUCUAGGGAAUGAUUUCACUGUAUUAUCGACAUGUUUUUCAACCUCUAUAGCUAUUUCCAUCAACUCUUUCCUGAGUUUAUAGGCAAGAACCCUUAUUUAAUUCCAUUUGCUCUCUCGAGCGCUAAUAGAACCUAUCUAUAUAUUUUAAUCCCAAUAUCUUUAUUCCAAAUUAAACAUAUAAAGAUUAUUAAAGCACUUGGUUCUUGAUUGAAGUUUCCCUCAAAGACUCACACUUCCUCUCGAAACUUACGAACCUAGGUUACUUUGUUCUAGAUUUCCUCGAAUCUGGGUUACUUUGUUCUAGAUUUCCUCUCUUGAGCAUCAAAUUUAAAACAUCAAUUCAUUUAAUUGGUGAUCAGACAAUUGACAGCAUUAAGCAAGAAACAACACAAAUAAAUUCUGAAAACGUUAAAGGAAAUAACUGUAAUGAAAUCAAAUCGUGUCUCAAAUAGGUUAUAUCAACCCUAGAUCUAAGAAUUUAUUUCAUACUUGAAUCGAUUGACAUGCCAAAAUACAAAAUAAAGAACAUGGGAAAGAAGAAUAAAGGGAUAAGAAAAACUAGUUUAAGCCGCGUGAGUUCUUUCCUUGAUGGUCGUCAAUCUUCUCGCAAUUGAAUUUUUCCUCUUUGCCUCUUGAUAAUUUUUCUCUUUGCAAUCUCUUCAACUGUCAAGAAUAAUUCUCAGAAAACCAAUCUCUUUUGCUAGGUCUUUUCGUACAUAUUUAUAGUCUUUUGGGUUUUCAAGGCGGAUUAUAGUUGGGCCAGGUCGAAAAGUUCCCAAAAGUUUUGAAAUUCUUCACUUCGAGAGGCGGAGUCGCGUCGCAAUUGGGUCCUCUGCUUCUACUUCAUUUUCUUAUGCUGGGCACCGCAGCGCCCAUGAGCUGGCCUUCAUUCUUUUUCUUGGGCGCCCAGGUGACCAUGGAACUGCCCAUUCGCUUAAUUUGUUCAUUUUCCAAGCCUCGUUUCCAUGUCACUCUCCUUCAAUUCUCUCCAAUUCGUAUCCAAUUUUAUGAUCACCACUAUAGCUCCAUCACAAGCUACAAAAUGUGGCAUUUUCUCGAAAGUUAUCCAAGCUACAAAACAACACGAAUGCACACAUCAAAACGUUCAAAAGUGCUCAAGAACAAGCUAAAAACCGUGAUUUAGAAGUGUUAAUUUAAUAAAUGAAUUACACUCAUCAACCAACCACAUAGUCCACCUUAGAAUCUAAUGCUAGAUCUAGUCAUCAACAGUUAACAGCUAUUGGAGGUCGAUUCCUUUUCACAAGAACUAAAAUCGAAAAUCACAUUAUAAACAGCUGCAGUCUUAACCAAUAAGACUCACAUGGAUUCACUCAUAGCUCCAUUUCAAUCCACAAAACUUCAUGGGAAAAAAUAUUAAUCUUUUCAAACUUAAUGAAUCACUGUGACAAACAUUCUUGUAUGAAAAAUCAAUUAAUUUUUGAAUACAUGAAAUCAAAAUUUUAUUUUUUAAGACGCAUAAUUACAAAAAAUUGAUCUCUUUCCUGCAGAUCAGAUUUCCUAAACCUAUUGCAAAGGCAAAAGUUCACUAUUCGAAGACCUAAUUAAAGAAAUAUGAUCAAACCAAAACUUAAUACACUAACAAUCGGACCACAGUAAUAAUUGAAUUUUCAAACAGCCAUAGAGAGUUAAUUAAUUAUUUCGAGAUGAAAUACAUACCUUUUGAUCCAUGACAUCUGAAAAUAGAGUUAUUUGGAUUUUUAGAGAAAAAUAAGCGAAAAUGAGAGCGUCGAUUAAAUUUUCAGGGUUCUGGUCGUGGGAAGAAAUGAAGAAGUAGAGGAAAUAAAAUUGCCCCUGCGGAAAGUCAAAUCCACAUUAGAGAGAAAGGAAAAAAGAAGUUUCAUUUGCAUUUUCAGAGAGGAAGAAGCGAACACGGCAGCAUCGAUUGAAUUUUCAGAGAUAGGGUUCUCGUCGUGGAAAGAAAUGAAGACUAAAGAAGAAGUGUUCUCAGCAGGAAAUAUAGUCUGACAAAAGAAUCCUAAAGCAGAACAAAUGGUGAAAAUACUCUGUGAUUUUGCUAUCUAUUGUUGGAUUUAAAAUGGGCAGAAGGAAGAACGAUAGAGAAAAUGGAAAAGGAGAGAUCUGAAAUCGGAAGAAGAAACAAUAGAGGGCAAAUUUGAUAUCUA